rnacentral:rRNA from 1 species
UACGAAGGGGCUAGCGUUGCUCGGAAUCACUGGGCGUAAAGGGUGCGUAGGCGGGUCUUUAAGUCAGGGGUGAAAUCCUGGAGCUCAACUCCAGAACUGCCUUUGAUACUGAAGAUCUUGAGUCCGGGAGAGGUGAGUGGAACUGCGAGUGUAGAGGUGAAAUUCGUAGAUAUUCGCAAGAACACCAGUGGCGAAGGCGGCUCACUGGCCCGGUACUGACGCUGAGGCACGAAAGCGUGGGGAGCAAACAGGG